rnacentral:miRNA from 1 species
UAUACGGAUGCGAUGACGAUCGGCU